rnacentral:rRNA from 1 species
UAAAGAGUUCUAUAACUCCCAAACCCAUGUGAACAUACCUAACGUUGCCUCGGCAGGUCGCACCUACCUUGUAGCACCCUACCCUGUAGGGCCUACCCGGGAGGUGCGGGUAAGCCUGCCGGCGGCCCACCAAACUCUGUUUGAUAUUGAAUUCUGAACCUAUAACUAAAUAAGUUAAAACUUUCAACAACGGAUCUCUUGGUUCUGGCAUCGAUGAAGAACGCAGCGAAAUGCGAUAAGUAAUGUGAAUUGCAGAAUUCAGUGAAUCAUCGAAUCUUUGAACGCAUAUUGCGCCCAUUAGUAUUCUAGUGGGCAGGACCGUUCGAGCGUCAUUUCAACCCUUAAGCCUUCGUUGCUUAGUGUUGGGAGCCUACGGCAACGUAGCUCCUCAAAGUUAGUGGCGGAGUUGGUUCACACUCUAGACGUAGUAAUUUUUUAUCUCGCCUAUUAGUUGGACUAAUCCCCUGCCGUAAAACCCCCAAUUUAUCAAGGUUGACCUCGAAUCGGUUCAGACAAACUCGCUAAAUUGAAGCAUCUUAGUCAGCGAAGGAAAAGAAACCAACAGGGAUUGCCCUAGUAACGGCGAGUGAAGCGGCAACAGCUCAAAUUUGAAAUCUGGCCCUCGGGUCCGAG